rnacentral:lncRNA from 1 species
CGUAGUUACAGUAAAGUUACUCAAGUUCUAUGUAAGCCACUGUACCCUGUAACGAUGGCAUACUACGAGUGGUACCGUUUGUUACAGCUUACGGCCCUGGACCGGAGCGCUGUACGCUGUUUUGCACUAGAAAUGCGCAAAUGCCACACAGAGUGGCCGGUUUAUUAUUUAACGCACCGCAUCCAGAUUGGUCGAGACGCUACGAGAGAUCCAUCUGUCUAUCCAUCCAUACAGCCGACAGCAGGCAAUCAAAGCUGCAGCGCCACAGCAGCGUCUGCUCGGUUGAUUGGCUUGGUGUUUCACGUUGACUCUGUAUUUUGAAUUUUCCGAUGCACUGAUACAACUGCCGGUCAUUUUCAUCGACGACCGGCGAAUGCUCAAUCUUCUGUCCCAGAGCAUAGAGAUACAUACAUGCUACGUAUGUGAGUUAAUAUUCGGGAGAGAGACGACUGACUCCUCGGACGACUGAAUGCGUCAACCAAAAAUACGCCGUUUACCCGCCAUACCCACAGUACAGCGCCGUACCCACUGGUAAUUUUCGUAACAGAAAGGUUCAUAGCGGUACGAUGUGACCGUUAGAUCGAACCAUUCCCACACAACCCCCCCUCCACCCAUGGAAAAGGUAUCACGCACUCGAAGCAUGAUCUUGGAACCAGUCCCCCAGAAGCUUAGCCUAGCUUUUUGCCUUUCGGUUGGGGCAGAAUCCGAUCGAGCGAGAAACUCAGAAAAGAGAAUAAGAAGAGAAGCAACGCCAGAGUGGAAAUCGAGGCAGAUGAAAGGAUGCAUGAACUCCACCAUGGUCAGUCAUUAUCGAUAACUCGCCGCGAAUAAGACGACGAAGACGUGAACAAAGAAAGGUGGAAAAAUGACUCAAAUAGGCCUAGUGAGUCAAUAAUGAUGACAUGAUCAAGAGUCGGCUAUUGGUCGGCUUUCUCGAGGACGUCUUUUACGACGACGGAGGGGUUGGAAGAAGGUCUAGGUCAUGUUCUCUCGCUUCUACUAAUGUUUCCUGGUGGAUAUGAGGCACCAGACUGCACAUUGAAUGCAGGUUGGCCGUUGUGUCAAAGUCCACACCACCGCCGUCUCUUGUUCUUUUUCUUUUUUUGCACAAUGGCUCGCUCAUCUGGCUCCUCCGGCUCCUUCAAGGUUUGCGCAGUGGGUGGGUAAUGAUCCGCAGAUGAGAGAAGUGGCCGCCGGAAGUCCAGGGAAGUGUGACUCCUCGGGGACCAUGGUUAAUGCUCGGUUGGUAACAUCAUGGUUAUGUGGAUGAUUAUGAGGGACAAUCACAUUUCAAGCAACCGGAUAGAUCUCAAUGGAAAACUCGAUUGAUAGAGCAAUACGUAACUUCGUCCAUUCUGCGAGCACGCGCGUAAUACCCCCCAUACAGAGUACAGUUAUCGUGUAAAAUACAGCCUAAUGCCGCAAUCGGUCUAGGCUGUGCAUUAGCGUUCAAACGAGGAAAAAGCACUGCCUACGCCAUUCCCAUUCGAGCAAAGCGGGAUCCACUGGACGGGCUUCAAUUUCUGGGAAUUCCCCAAUCAGUGCCCAUAGCCGCCCUCAGCCGGCUACCGGUAAUUCACUGGAUAUGGUGUAGUCUGUUUUUUACUUUUCUAGUCAUAUGCAAGAUGUCGUUGCUGCAGGCCCCAACUAUGCAAGGGCAAUCUUAGAGAUCGGCCUUAAGGGUGGGAAGCCUGGUUUGUGCGCGUUACUAACUUUCCCUAGCAUUCUAUCCCUGAUUCCCCGGUUAUAGUCCAUACAACUCUAUUAUAUUACGCGGUAUCAUUACGCGCUCUGUGUAUGCUCAGCCGAAUAACUUACAAGCACCCUGUAGACCAUUAUCGCCGGGCAAACCACCACAAAUAACGCGAUGAAUGUACCCAUGCCGUAGCAGUAUGGUAGAGACUUGCAUGGCGACUAAAGAAACGUGAUUUUGGUCGUGUAGCAAACAAAUUGGCCAUUGUGUGGUACUUCCCACUAAUUCCGUAGUGCAUGCUUAGUGUACCAGGAUCUGGCCCUGGCUUCUACUACGUACAGAGAGUACCCUGGAGGUUCUCCUGAGAAUGAAGAGCGACAUGCAACUUCUUUUUGUAAAGAAGCAGUGCCCUUCUAGAGGCAUGGCAACACGUUAUUGUCAUUGUGCGUCUUGCCGUGACUGCUUUUUGUACCAUUCGCCCUUUCCGUCUUUGUGAGGGCGCUCCUUCCCCUGGACUGCGACCCCCCGUGACGGCAUCGACAGCUCGACACACCUAUCUCUUCUAACUUCUUUCUCUUCUUCGUCGUCGUCUUCUUCUUGUUGUUUUUUUUUUUCGAUCUCAUUGGCAAUAGAUCCUACUUGAAUGGCUGCUUUACGAAGUGGUCUCGCCCUCCUUGAUCCCUACCAGUUGCACUGGGUGAAUCGAACAACAUACCUCGGUGGUGGGCGUCGGCCGUUCGUUGAACGACUACACCCUAUGGCGAAAAUCGAACGUGGAGCCUGAUUGAUAUGACAGUUUCAAUAUGCCCCAGAGUGGAUAACACCGACAGCACAAGCCAGGAGAAGGUUAUUCAGCUUGGUCCAUCGGGACGUUUUGCCGUAUCCACAGCGACGUUGGGUCAAUAUGCACGAUUGACUUCGUACCCAUACGGCCGACCCAAGAUGGAUGGACGUUAGGAGCAGAAAAAUGAGAAGUGGUCAAAUUUACCGACUAUCGCAAGCCAUCGUUUCUGGAGGAACGAACCGACGAGGCGGAGCAGAACACUUACAAUCCGAAUAUUCACACAAUGGUUUCAGUUUGUUACACUGGCGAACUGCUCUGUACUUGACAGCUGUACCAUUGUUUCAAGAGUACAGUUUGUGCAACCUUCAGAAAAUGUCGGACGCAUCACAUUCUUACUUAUCCAAGAUGCAAUGGCAUGAUGACCUCGGUAUAUUUAGUUCGGACGCACAACAUACGGUAUUCGCAACGGCUUCCGAGUACCCGUGCGUUUCUUCGGCGUCGACAGGCCCUUCCGAUUGAGUCCAAGGAAAAGCAAUGUGCAAUUCACGCCGUUAUCGAAUGCGGUACAAAUGAAAACAAUACUAGUACGAAAACAACCUCUUGAACAUUCGUCAAUCCUCAUGUUUUACAGUACUUCGACACUCGAAGAACCAUUCAGAGGUUUAUGCGAAAAGGUCUACGAACCGUACGCCGUGCUUAUGCCGAUUGACAAGCCGUCAACCCUAUGCUUACGCAACACCUGUGUGAUGUCAAUCUCCACCAUACGUCGUAUUAUUGUAUCGCCGUAUCGACACUAACAUUAAGCUACGCCGCUAGUAUAUCAUGAACUACUCGAUUAGCUGCAUAAGUGGCCGCUCUUGCGUCAAUCUGCCGCCGACUAGUACAGGUUCUGGUGUCAGUGUGAUGAAGUGACUUGGUGUCCUUUUCUGCCGUCAUCUUCUGUAGAAAGUAGGGCGCUUGUCUGUGAGCUGCCGCUAUACAUGCAGAGGGAGUUUGACCUGUCAAGUUGGUAAACCGCCAUCUCUGCAUUUGGUGCCCAAAGAAGCUACUGCGUUUCUUUCGUCUUGGUUGGCGUCCUACCUUGCUAAUUGCAUUGAGCACAAGCGCUAAGGAGCAGAAAUCAGUCAGUCAACUCCGGUGGGUCACACAGAUACGUGUGGUAUGAUGUUCUCCGUCUUCGGGGAGGAAGCCGGUGCCUAUUUUUCGCCCGUAGCCCAGUGGGUAAUGCAAAAAGGUUGCAUCUGCCACCAACAAUUUUGUCUCUACUAUCAAACUGCCAAAAGUACCGACGAUACCGAGACGGCAGAUACCUUGUUUCCGGUUCACUUAGUUGCCAUCGUCCGUCGUCAUGGCAAGCACAGUGGGCUACGUAGUUAUUUGAAAGUGCAAUAUAUGCAGCGUUUCGCCUUGAACGUACUUUAUCACACUAACGAUGCAGUGAACAUUCAUUGCCCGAAAAUUGGCUCCGACCGGUUGACCUAUGCGUCGACCUGUCACUUGUCAUUCAUCAAGUCAAAUGACAACGCAUUUAGCACCGAAAAGAAAAUAUAAAAAAGGAACCAGUCAAACUCUACAUAUUGACGCAAGUACCUGGCAAAUAAACAAGUCAUUUAAAAGAAGAAAAGAAAACAACAAAAACAAACGAACAAAUGAAUAGAUGAAUAAAUGACCAGCUAACUACAUGAUUCAUCCACGGACUGGAUACACAUGGAAACCAUCAAACUUAAAAUAACCUGACAGCUACCCACUCCUGUAGUUAGUUAGUUACUAGUAGGUACUUACUACAGUUACUGUAUGUACAGUAGAUGGCGGUACCCAAGACCAUGGGUCUCCUCGUAACUAACUUAUUAAGUUACAGGUGCUACCUAAGUUACCUAACCCUAGCCUACCACAAAUACCACCACCCUUAAGCUAAAUAACUUAAACCAUGGACGUACCGGCCCUAGGUGGCAUCCUAGGGUACAGCAGGUACCUAGGUA